rnacentral:rRNA from 1 species
UACGUAGGUGGCAAGCGUUAUCCGGAUUUACUGGGUGUAAAGGGCGUGUAGGCGGGACUGCAAGUCAGAUGUGAAAUUCCAGGGCUCAACCCUGGAACUGCAUUUGAAACUGUAGUUCUUGAGUGAUGGAGAGGCAGGCGGAAUUCCGUGUGUAGCGGUGAAAUGCGUAGAUAUUGCGCAGAACUCCGAUCGCGAAGGCAGCCUACCGGCGCGCUACUGACGCUCAUGCACGAAAGCGUGGGUAUCGAACAGG